UUUUAUGGCCACAUGACCCUGAUUUCGUCUGAUCUCAGAAACUAAGCAGGGUCCAGCCUGAAGGGUACUUGGUUGGGAGGCCACUUGGGACUACAGGUUCAGUGGUAC